rnacentral:tRNA from 1 species
GCGGGAGUAGCUCAGUUGGUAGAGUACAAGCCUUCCAAGCUUGGUGUCGCGGGUUCGAUCCCCGUCUCCCGCU